AAAUCUGAUCAAAACCAGAACAAAAAAUUUUUAAUUAAUAGAUCUAAGUUAGAUUUAAUAUUUAAAAUUAAAAUCUAAUAAUAUAUCACAUAUAUACAUACCAAAAAAAUUAAUUAUGCAUCCAUGCAUCAAUCUAGCUCAAAUAUCAGUUGAAGAGAAAAAUCAUCCGAUUUAAUCGGAUCGUUAGGGUGCAUCUAAAAAUUUUUCUAUUCUAUUAAUUUAUAGUAUUUAUAAAUUAUCUGAAUCAAAGAAAAAUAGGGAUCAAAAUCUCUAGUGAAUAGGAUGCCCAAGGGUUCUUGAAUCCGAAGCCUUGC
rnacentral:lncRNA from 1 species